GCAGGAACUAGUGACAGAGGGAAGCUCUUGUCACCCCUGCACCUGGAGGGGACAAGGAGAGGGAGCUCUCACCAGCAGGUGGCAAGAGAAGGAGCCAUGCAGGAGGGGCCCCCAACAGGAGCUGUGUCAGACAGUGACUUGCAAAUGCCUUUCUGCCUGGGGGUUUCAAGAGCAGAGAUGGAGUUGGAUUACAGCAGGCCCUGAGCUGCUUGAGGCAUACAGUGAGAUGAGUGUUGACCCCGUCUUGUAAUAACACCACAAUCCAGAUACAGAACAGCCCCGUCCACCCCCAGUGUCCCUCAUGCCCCUUUGUAGUUCACCACCCCCACCAAGCCCUGCAGCCACCGAUCUGAUUUCUGCCCCUGAAGUUUUGCUUUUCCAGAAUGUCAUAUCUAUAAAUGGAGUCACGCAGUA